UACAGAGGAUGCAAGCGUUAUCCGGAAUGAUUGGGCGUAAAGCGUCUGUAGGUGGCUUUUUAAGUCCGCCGUCAAAUCCCAGGGCUCAACUCUGGACAGGCGGUGGAAACUACCAAGCUGGAGUACGGUAGGGGCAGAGGGAAUUUCCGGUGGAGCGGUGAAAUGCGUAGAGAUCGGGAAGAACACCAACGGCGAAAGCACUCUGCUGGGCCGACACUGACACUGAGGAGCGAAAGCGUGGGGAGCGAACAGG
rnacentral:rRNA from 1 species